rnacentral:lncRNA from 1 species
CCCGAGUUUCCCCUCCAAGACACAUUGUUAUGCUUCGGUAACUUCCCCGCUGCAACAACACAACCCAAAUAAAACACAAGUUAGUUUAUAUAUACUAUAUUUUGGCUUGAGGAGGGAUCAAGUUAAUUAUAAGAGAGUUACUUUUCAUCCACAUCAUUUAAUUUCUUGAAAUCUAAUGGUUGCUAAUCUUAACUAUUAGAUUUCAAGAAAAUGAACUGUGGAAAUGAGGAGUAACUUUACUUCAUCCCUCCUCUCUUGUUUUUAUGUUUACUCAAUGCGGGAACUUCUUCUUUAUUUGGUAGUUGACAUACAUCGUUGGCCAUUGAAGAACAUGAGGGCCUUGUGGAGGGCGAGGGUGUAGUUGUCGGGAGGGGGGUGUUUGUGGCGGUGGCGGGGGACGGUGUUGACGAUGAGGGCAAUGAGGCCGGCGAGGAAGGCGGCGAAGAGGAGGGUGCCGAGGGUCCACUUGAAGAUCUUGCGGCUGACGAUGAUGCAGCCGAGAUCGACGUACUUCUUCU